CACGCCCUAAACGAUGCGAACUGGACGUUGGGCUCAAUUAGGAGCUCAGUGUCGAAGCUAACGCGUUAAGUUCGCCGCCUGGGGAGUACGGUCGCAAGACUGAAACUCAAAGGAAUUGACGGGGGCCCGCACAAGCGGUGGAGUAUGUGGUUUAAUUCGAUGCAACGCGCAGAACCUUACCUGGUCUUGACAUCCACGGAAUCCUUUAGAGAUAGAGGAGUGCCUUCGGGAACCGUGAGACAGGUGC
rnacentral:rRNA from 1 species